GACGGAGGGUGCGAGCGUUGUCCGGAAUCAUUGGGCGUAAAGGGCGCGUAGGUGGCCCGGUCAGUGGGCGGUGAAAGCUCGGGGCUCAACCCCGAGUCGGCCGUGCGAACUGCUGGGCUUGAGCACUGUAGAGGCAGGCGGAAUUCCGGGUGUAGCGGUGGAAUGCGUAGAGAUCCGGAAGAACACCGGUGGCGAAGGCGGCCUGCUGGGCAGUGGCUGACACUGAGGCGCGACAGCGUGGGGAGCAAACAGG
rnacentral:rRNA from 1 species